UUACAGAAUACAGAGACCCAAAAAUUCUUACCUGUUUUGGUUAGUUGUAUUCUGAAAAAGAGGAUUUAUUUUUGAUAAAGAGUGUUAUAGAGCAGAUUUUUUUGUGAUUAAUUUGUAUCAAACAUUGGACUCCGACAACAGCAAGAAACUAUUUUAUGUAAAUAUCUUGCUUUGUUUCUAGAUUACAUUUGUAAUAAAAAUGCAAUUAUUUUUACUUGCUAAACUAACUAAAUGAUCUCCGAUAGGAAGUGGA